AUGUAAAGUUAUACAGCUUACAAUGUUAUCUGUACCACUUAUAGAACAUAUAAUUGAUUUUAUAAAUUAUUAUAUGCAUUUUAUGGUGAUGAAUCGUACAAGUCCCAAAUCGCAUUUUAAGUUUAUUCUUGUCGUUUAUCAUGUCCCCUUUCAUUCGCCGUAGAUGUUCAACCUUUGUACUCAAACCAAAUGUCGCUUUCUUUCCAACGUUAGUUGUUUAAUUGUUGGAAUUGCUAGACGUUUUGGUCUACACACACUUCAUUAAAGAUCGUGGAUCAACGAUGCAAGUGUAGGUGGGACUCCUGAUGCAGAGAGAACAUGUUUCGACGAAGGAUACCCUUUGCACAGAUAGCCUUUGCCACUGUGCUAGGAGUUGCUGGGGGAGUUUAUAUAUAUAUAUAUAGACCCAUGUUUGUGCCCCAGCACAAUAACACUGUUCCAGAGACUUUGAGUCAAACUGAGGACAAUUGGAUGCCUGAGAGCCAAGGACAGUCUAGAGAUGGCAACAAUGUGCCUGAGAGUCCUGGACAGUAUGAAGUCAAUAGAACUGUGUAGGAGAAUGUGGGACAGUCAGCGGCAGAAGUGGCCGUCAAGUAAUAAUUUUGGUUGAUUUGUGGUUUGGUGUGUAAAUUAGAUAUGUGAAUUAAGUGUCAAAUACAAUCCCUUCGGCUACUGAAAGAUCUCACAAAUCCAGUAAUGUCAGCAGGGUUGGGUAGGUUACUUUCUAAAUGUAAUACGUUAGUUACCUGUCCAAUUGUAAUCAGUAACAUAACUUUUGGAUUACCCAAACUCAGUAACAUAAUCUGAUUCCAUUCCGUUUAAGAUUACUUUCCCCUUAAGAGGCAUUAGAAGACAAAAAUGUAUGUUACCAAUUGAACGACAUCUAUUGCAGGAUAAAUCAAUGUUAAAGUUUACAUAGCUGGCCAUAUAUGGAUGUAAAAUUUUACUCUGGGUUGGUUAUGUAGGCUUCUUCUAACCCAUCGCUUUCUACUACAUAUAAUACGAUUAAAUUAUAUCUUUACAUUAAAAACCAAAGUCUAUCAGAAUUCCAUUCAUUCCAAUAAAUGUUAUACCCCUUCAUCUUCAAGAAUAGGACUUGGAAGUAUAAAUUAGCCAAAUUGUUUUACCUGAGCAUGACCCCAAAACGAAGGACUUAUUAGCCAGCCCUACUCUGUUGUUUAUGAUUUUGUCAUCAUGGAAAACUGAUUGGGCUCAUUGAUUCGAGUUGAAAAAGAAAAUCUGCGCUCCUAGAAUGGCAUACUUUGAGCACUACUGAAAGUGCUAUUUUCAUGGAAAAAAUUAAUGCCAUAUGCUGAAUUUGCUAUAGGCCUAUUGUUUACGUUUUUGUUGGUGACACUAUCUUGAUAAUAUGCAGCAGUUUAAAGGACGAAUCGACAGAUGAAACAAUAACAAAACAGUCGCCCCGCCUCUGUUUUGGUAAAAAGCUGAGAGAUGGAUCUGGAGAAAUGUAACCACUCUCAGAUUAAUAGACAGAGCUAUGGAUGCACGGACUAACCAUAAAUAAAAAUUAUAGUUUAA